UACGGAGGGGGUUAGCGUUGUUCGGAAUUACUGGGCGUAAAGCGCGCGUAGGCGGUUUCUUAAGUCUGGGGUGAAAGGUUCAACGCUCAACCUUGGAACUGCCUUCAAAACUCCCAGUCUUGAGUUCGAGAGAGGUGAGUGGAAUUCCGAGUGUAGAGGUGAAAUUCGUAGAUAUUCGGAGGAACACCAGUGGCGAAGGCGGCUCACUGGCUCGAUACUGACGCUGAGGUGCGAAAGCGUGGGGAGCAAACAGG
rnacentral:rRNA from 1 species